UACGAGUGCCCCGAGCGUUAUCCGGAAUCAUUGGGCGUAAAGGGUGUGUAGAUGGUUUUGUUAGUCUUUUGUUAAAUUCUUCGGCUUAACCGGGGGCAUGCAAAAGAAACGGCAAGACUGGAGGGUGCGAGGGGUUUGCGGAACUCAUAGUGUAGGGGUGAAAUCCGUUGAUAUUAUGGGGAACACCAAAAGCGAAGGCAGCAAACUGGCGCAUUCCUGACAUUGAAACACGAAAGCGUGGGUAGCGAAUGGG
rnacentral:rRNA from 1 species